rnacentral:rRNA from 1 species
GCUUAACGCGAAGAACCUUACCAGGCCUUGACAUCCCGGUCGCGGCCCCUUGAAAGAGGGGCUUUCAGUUCGGCUGGACCGGUGACAGGUGUUGCAUGGCUGUCGUCAGCUCGUGUCGUGAGAUGUUGGGUUAAGUCCCGCAACGAGCGCAACCCUCGCCCUUAGUUGCCAUCAUUUAGUUGGGCACUCUAAGGGGACCGCCGGUGAUAAGCCGCGAGGAAGGUGGGGAUGACGUCAAGUCCUCAUGGCCCUUACGGCCUGGGCUACACACGUGCUACAAUGGCGGUGACAGUGGGCAGCAAUGGCGCGAGCCGGAGCUAAUCUCAAAAAGCCGUCUCAGUUCGGAUUGCACUCUGCAACUCGGGUGCAUGAAGUUGGAAUCGCUAGUAAUCGUGGAUCAGCAUGCCACGGUGAAUACGUUCCCGGGUCUUGUACACACCG